ACUCAUAUGUAACAAGAAAAUGUAUCGUUUUCAGGUUGCUGCCACUACUCCAUGUGCCCGCAAUUGUCUUGCGUGUAUGAUUACACUAACGGCGUCGCCCACCACGGCGGAAGUGUUUUGCGUACACGCGUUUCAGCAUGAAGCCUGCAGGUGGACGUAAAUUGUAGAAGGCAGCUAGUGGGGGAGAAGAUCAUGGUCAUAGGUCAUGUGACUCCUGGAGCUCCCAGUGGGCUCCCUUGUGGAGUACUUUUCAGAACACACACACACACAGUUUGCUCACAGAACCAACGAGUAGGAUGUUGCUUGAAUACUGAGAGAAAAUGGCGUAACACAUACAAAUAUCGUGUGACACAUAUGACAAUAAAAACAUUUUUCACGAGGGA